AUGCCGCUCUCCACCGUCAUGAGCCCCUUCUUCGCGUCGAUGCGCACCGUCCGGUUGAGCCGCUCCGUGCUUAUGAUGGCGCCGUCGAGGCCGCCGGGGCACAUCAGCUUGGGGAUGCUGUGCGAGUACCUCGUGGCCACCUUCAUCUUGCGCUUCGCGGACACCGCGGCCGCCACGGCCCCGACGAGCUCCUGCUCGGUGCGCGGGUAG
rnacentral:rRNA from 1 species